GAUAAAUUGAAUUUACCAUUAAAUCUGGUCUUGAAUAGUUUGAAUAAUGUGAUCAAAACUAAAUGCUAGUAUGUUUUUGGCAAUUAACACAGAGUUUUAGUUAAUGGUAUCUGCUGCUGAGAAUAGAAAGCGGAUUAAAGAAGAAAACAAGCUUGUUGAUAUGAUGUAAUUGGAAUAUUUUAUUUGCCUGUCUUGAUCCCCUAUCCGCUGAGACAGCCGUUCCUCGCUUUGCCACAAUUCCAUACAUUCACCCUCAAAUCCAUCACUGAUGCGUGCAUCUAGUUCUCUACUACUGCUAUCUUCCUCACUUGCGACCGAGCAACGCUCGUCUUCCUACCAAGUCCCAUGAUCUUCAACUGAAAUUCCCACUUCAAUAAUCUCCGUCUCCGUCCAAGCUUCUAACUUCGUCACUUUAAGAUUUCCCAUUUGCUUCUAACUAAUGCUUCAUUUCAAAUGAUUUUUUGAUCAGAUCCAAAACCAUUAGCAUCCAAUGGGGCACCUUAAUCUCCCCGUAUCAAAGCGAAACCCUAGACAAUGGAAACUACUCGACCUCGUAUCUGCUGCAUUCUUCGCCUUAGUCUUUCUUUUCUUCCUUCU
rnacentral:misc_RNA from 1 species